CUCUCAGCAGCCACUGCCAAGAGCAAUGCCUGCCUGCCACUCCAGUUGUAAGACAAAUGCCUGCUGGGAAGGGCAGAAGGAACAGUACUCGGUGGCCAGGUCAGAAGCCAGGCCAGAAGUCAAACCCAGCCUCCCAUGUCCACAUUGGUGGCCUCACUGCCGGUCUGGGUUCAAAGGAGACACGGGUAUGGCUGCAGCAGGGCCCCAUGGUAGGAGCAUGUGUUCCAGAAGAUCAGGCAGCCUGACAUUAUUCUAGUCCCACGUAUGGGAGCCACUGCCUGGGAGGAAGGGCCCUCUCCCCUCUGGAACCCGCAGUGCGUGCCCAGGCAGCCUCGGGCUCAAGCGACCUGCCCCGCUGCAGCUGGAGACCAUGGAACUUUCCAGGGGAGUCAUGAAAGGAAAGCUUGACAAAGGAGAAGAUGGGCAGAGACAUUUUUUUCCAGCAGAGGAUUAUGAUGUUUCAUUGUGGUCAAGCCGAGCAUCUGCCAUACGCAAGAUGAAGCUUCUGUUCCCAGACAUUUAGAGAGUACCAGCAGGAAUGGACAUCGGAAAUAGAUAUCCUUAUUUACACACCAGGCCUUCUGAUUCAUCUAGUUGUCCCAACCGGGUUCCUAAUGGCCUCUACUAGAAUGAAAGAGCAUUACAGACCUUCCAGGUUCUUUGUAUACUUACAAGCAAUAAAAUGUUAUGUCCCACAAGGGGCCUUCCCCUCC